AAACUCAUGAUAAUCGUGGGAUUAACGGCAUCAGAACUCGUUCAAGAAGGCACCUCUCACGUGACGUCUUCAAAAGUGGGAGCAUGCUCCUGUUCAAGAACACAGUUGGCUUCAAAAGUGGGAGUACGCUGAGCUGCCAACAUCAAUCUAUAAAACCCAUUCAAGAACGCAGUACUCAGCUCUCAUUCUCAAGGAUCUCGACGUCUUUCUCUCUAUAGCUUCCUUACAGUGAUUUACAGAAAGGUGCAAGACAGCUUUGUUUGAAGCUUUGGAGAAGGUAAAACAGAAUUUUAUUGUCAAAAUCCGUAUUCCUGAAAAGGCUGCAGACAUCAUGCUACCAUGUCCCUACAAUGGUGAGAAAGACUCAAGUAGUGAGACUGAAAGUUGCUGAAGGCUUUUAUGGUAUAACCAUAGGCUUUUAGCUGCUGCUACCUAAAGCCUUUUCUGCUUGGGCUUUAUUCCAAUUGACAGUGAAAUAGCAAUGGGCAAGAUGGUACUUCUGUGAUGAAAGUUGAAGUAAAGGUGUAGGCUCCAAAGCUCCGCCAUAUGAAUCUUAACUGCUUUGAAGCUGGUAUACCCCAGAAUGGUCAGACUCGUGAGCAUACUUUGCUUACCUUCACCCCUGGUGUCAAUGAAUUCCUCUUCAGGGCCUCCAAAUUUUCUGCUACCUUUUCCUGGUAAUGCCAUUGAAGGAAUAGAAUGGAGCAAAUCAACUUUCACUUUUCAACAAGGACAAGGUCAUCCUCAGGACUACUAUGGUGAUGGGUAUCAUGCACCUGCUCCUUAACUUGCCUAUGUUCAACCUCAGCCAAUUCCAGGAUAUGAUCAGCAACAAGAAAUUCCCUAGAGCAAGGAAGAAAAUCAGAGAGCAAGAGAGAAGAAGAGUAGAACAGAAGAGACGGUUCAUAGGGUUUUUGGCUAGUCUUGGGAGUAGGAGCAGCAAGCCUGAAGCCCAACACACCUUGCUGCAGAGGAGACUUUCAGGUAUGGCUGUUAUGGGUUUCCCACUUAUGUCAUCUUUCAUGCUUCUCCCACCUCUUUCCCAAAUGAUUUUUACAUUGCUUGUUGGGUUGUUAUGGAUUGGUUAUUGUUGUGUUAAUCUUUCUUUUCUCUGGUUCCAUUAAGGAAAUAUUUGACUAUGCUUCGGUUUACUGUUUCAUACUUGAAGAGCUUGCUGCAUUUUGUGCUUUUCUUUUAAGACAUUUGCCAUGGAUUAGCCCACUGAUUAUUAAACCCAUGGAUAAAAUAAUGAAAUGGGUUCAACAUAUUUGGUGAAUGUUUUAUGCCCUGCUCCUUUUCCUUGUCUUUUGCUCUUUCCCUGUAUUCCUCCGUUUCCAGUUCCUUUGAGUAAGUUUGAGAUGUCAUUAUUGGGAGGCUUGCUCUUGGCAAGUAUUGAGGUUGAUCCUGUUAUGGAUAUCUGCAUAAAGCCACUAGAAGGAUGGAAGACCAGUGUAGUUACAUAGUAUGUGCUCUAGAUUGUGAGAUUUGAAAUCUGUGCUGCUGCAUUGCUGGGGAUAUUGACACAGGGCAUAAUACCUUUGAGAACGGAAAUCUAAAAGUUUCAGACUUUGAAUGAGCGCUUUUGCAGAACCUAAACACCAAGAUGAUUGGUUUCACAUAACUAAAAGGCACACACCAGGAGCUUCAAGUUCAGAAUCUUGACUAUGCCAUUUCCCAUGACCCCUUCCUCCAUUCCUUACCUUUCUUCAUUCAAGCGCUAGCUUCUGGAAGAUAACCAAGGGAUAAUAUGUUCCCUUCUGUGCUAAAAUCAUGCACUUUGAUGAAAAACUUGAGUUUCAGUGGUGCAUAGAAAUUUUGUGAUUCCGAGAUGAUCAGUGGAAUUCUUGAACAAAGGAGAUGUUGUGGGAGAUGGUAACAUAUGUUUUCCAGCUUGGUUAUAGACUGUUAAAUGUGAAGCACAGUUAAAAUCUGAUCCUGGAUGACCGGUAGUAGCGGGAUGGCAAAGCUGGUGGCAAUCCAACAUUGACUCUUUCCACAGACACAAAUAUCUUUCACCAACAAAGACCUCCCCAUGUGCAUGUGAUCCAUGCAUGCAUGACCACCCAAAGCCUUCUGAUGAAAUUCUUCUUCAUCAAAUCCAAAUCCCAAGCAUCCAACCCCUUUUCAACGAAACAAUAGCUAAACUUGAAGUUGAAUUGAGCCGCCCUGGAAAGCUAAUUGUUGCUGAUGUUGAAGGAAAGUUAUGCAUGAUCAUGGAAAUCCCUGGAGUCUUUGAUCAGACCAAUAAAGAGCCUCUUGAUGAUGUGUACCUGGUGUUGGAAGUAUCUUCGAAAACAGAGUUCCUGACAUUCCCCAGAGGUAAAUGAGCAGUGAUCAAAAUUUCUCUGAAUAUCAAAAUCUUGGAUAGUCACCAUGGAAGCAUUCUGAAUGCAUUCAACCACGAUGUGGUUAUUAUCUGAGUUGGCAUUGACAGGCACGGAGCUGCUCCGCAUGCAGUGUAGAAAGGUGUAUUGAUUGGCACCAGCGAUCCUUACAAAAGAGCAGCACGCAAUCCACCAGAAAAGGAAGUCAUGAUCAUAACAGUGGAAAAGACCAACCAUGUUUCUUAAAUGAAGAAGAUUUGCACCUCAGCUAUCAGCUUCUGUUUGUGGAAAACUGAGGAUAAACCCCAAGCAGCCUGAAUAUUAAGAAAAACAUAAGCACUUCGAAAUUUUACAGUGGGGAUAUUGAAAUAAGGUCUUUGCUAGAACCUGAAAUGGUGGGAGUCAUGACACUGCUACUGUUAUUGGUUUUGGGAGGAACAUUAGUGGGUUGCUGAAGCAUGCAAUUUGGAACUCCCAUGCUCAUGCUGAUUCCAUGAAGAAACAACUUGGUUUCGUAUGGCAUUAGCAAUGCAACCUACAGAAAAGAAUAUUUGAACUGAGAUUCCAAGCUGCAAUGACUAUGCUCUGAUCUCUACAUGUGAAGAAGUAUCUCUCGAAGUCGGUUGACUCUAUUAUCUCGAGAUAAUUGUUUGAAAGGAUGCACCUUUUUGUUGGAACAUACACACAAGUACAAAAUCUGGGAUAGGUUGCAGUCCAAGGUUGAUUCAAUUGAUGGAUUGUCUUCAAGUAGCCAAGGCUUGGAGAAGGAAAGUAUUUUGGUGGGUAUGACAGAUCAAUCCUAUUUGGCUGGUGUAGAGAAACUAAUGACAGAGCUGUCAUUCUUAUUAAUGAGCCAACUCUAGCGUUUAUGAAGGUACGGAUUCUGAUUACAAGGGCCGUUUAUUGUUUGGGUAUACUCCAGUUCACUCAGAUUCCAUUGUUGGAGAGUCAGGAUUAUCUGAGACAAGCUUUACCCGAUAUCCAUUUGAUGGUGGACAUGCCAAUGGGUAUUUGAUGUUCAUCUUCUCCGUCAUUGCAUGACAUAUGCAAUGGCCAUGGUGAGUCCAGUUUGGGCAACCUCACAGUAGCAUGAUCACGUAUGGUUGCAUGAAAUUGGAGUUUGUCACCGGCUCUAAUAAGAAUUGGGGUGAAAUUGCUGAUUCUCAUAGACAGGCAUCAGGGUUAUACACUAAAUAUGGUAGAUCACAACCUGCACCAAAUGUUCUGGCAAAGGAUGCUCGUGUUCUAGAAGGCGUUGAUUUGGGCAAAGCCAUACAACUCUACAAAGAUGCUUGUGUUAUGCCAGGGUCUGUGCUUCUCAAGAGCAACUCGAUUCUGUUGAAUCCGUCACCCCUCACUAUACCCUUGAUUAAUGAAAGUGGCACACCCAGGGUACAGAAAGAUGCUCCUAUUUCCACCAAGGCAGUGAAAGCAAGCACCCUUAAGCAGAAACAGGUUUCUCCUCCAAAAAUUUGAUGGCAUGAGCUUGGGUCAUCCAACUCCUUGACAAUCCUGAAAAGUGGCUUUUCAGUGAGCUGUAGCAGUGAAGACAAUACCGAUGCUGGUUAUAAUAUAAGUCUGUCUAGUGAAGAAGAGUGUAACUUCUUCCAGAGCAGGUGGCUGUGUCCAUGAAUUACACACCAAGGGUUUCAUUUGUUUCAUCGAAACUCCUGAGAGGAGUGGGCAAAUCUCUAUUUACAAGCUGAAGUCAUGAAACCCUAUAAUUCAGAAGUGCAAUAGACUGGAGAGAAAAGUAGUGUUGUUUCUCAUAUUGACCAUGAGGCACAGAGCAUCAUAACUGAAAAGGAACAGGAAGUUCAAAUCUCACAGGUUACUGAAGUCGAGCCUGAAAGGAUGCCCAAAACUGAGAAACUCCAGGAUGAAAUUAAGCUGAUUUCUCGUGCUAAACUUGAGUCCAGCAGAGCAAUUUUCAAAUUUUCUUCUCAUUCACCAGUCUCGCCCUGUUUCAGAGGUUUUAGAGAGAGUUAGCAGUCAGAUCACUGUGUGGAAAGACAAGUGACACAAAUGAAAGGAGCGCCGCAGUGGAGAAAUUGAUUGCGUCUCAUGAACAAAAAUUGAUAAAGAUUUAAUGGCAGUGUCCGAGAUUAGACUACAACUCAGAGAUAGGUUCAGCAAAAAAGUUCAGCUUCAGAUCAGGUGACUUUGCCUCACCAAUGACAGAACAGAUGGAUACCACCCUAUCAUCAACUGGUCAGAUGGAUCUCAGAUAGCCAGCAUUAGUUAAAGCAGAUUCCUUUCCUGCAACAACAGACAAGAAAACACCAAAAUUGUUGAAUUAAAAAGAGCAGUCCAUGUUUAUCAGACUUUGGUGAUCAGAAUUGUUCCUCUGCUUCAACUUCAUGCUACACUGCCUCUGGAAAACAGUGAAUCAAAAUGACAAUUAGCCAAAUUGCUGUAGCAAAAGUUGGUCCUGGAUGUGCAACUUCAGAAUACCUAGUCACAGGUCACAUGCUUGCCUAUACUUGGCCUCACUCCUAUUUGGCUUGCAUAAUCACCUAUCCUCCUGAUGCUUUUCUUUCCCUUAUGAAUUUACACAUUUUAAAUCUGGAUUUCAAAAUUUUUUUUGUCAAAAUAAUUCUGGUUUUCCAAAAAUUUUGUCCUUAGGAGUUCUUGGUUAAUAAAAUCCAGAUUUUAAUAAACCUGCUGCCAUUUUCUUUUCCGGCAUGCAUCUUCUUAUUUUCUCUGAUUUUUUAGCUUUAAUUUUCUUAAUUUUCUCGUUUUUUAAAUAAGCAUGAAUAAACUUCAUGAUUCCCAAUGGAAUUCAUAGAAUUAAAUCAUGCAAAAGUAAAUUGGGCCUUGGUGGGGGCCCAACAUCCAUGAUACUUGUUUUACAUUGAUUCUAAUAAGAUAAUUGUUUGAUGAUUGAUUGAUUUUGAUUCCUCUCUAUGAUAUACAUGAGUUUGUUUUAUACUUAUUGUUAAGCUAACCUUGUAUUCCAUAGAGGCGUUGAUGCUUGCUAACCAGGUGCGCUCUCUCUAACCUCCAAUUUCGAAAUUCCAUGAAUUUGUAUGUUAUUGAGGACUAUAACCAUGUUUGAUAGUAUCUUUGGAUUCCUUGAUGUUU